GAUGAACGCUAGCGGCAGGCCUAACACAUGCAAGUCGAGGGGUAGUUACUUUCGGGUAAUGAGACCGGCGCACGGGUGCGUAACGCGUAUGCAAUCUACCUUUUACAGGGGAAUAGCCCAGAGAAAUUUGGAUUAAUGCCCCAUAGCACUUAAGAAUGGCAUCAUUCAUAAGUUAAAGGUUACGGUACAGGAUGGGCAUGCGCCCAUUAGCUAGAUGGUAAGGUAACGGCUUACCAUGGCAACGAUGGGUAGGGGGCCUGAGAGGUGGUCCCCCACACUGGUACUGAGACACGGACCAGACUCCUACGGGAGGCAGCAGUGAGGAAUAUUGGUCAAUGGGGCGCAAGCCUGAACCAGCCAUGCCGCGUGCAGGAAGACGGUCCUAUGGAUUGUAAACUGCUUUAUUUGGGAAUAAACCUAUUUACGUGUAGAUAGCUGAAGGUACCAAAUGAAUAAGCACCGGCUAACUCCGUG
rnacentral:rRNA from 1 species